AUGUUUCACCAGCUUUCCCUCCUGAACGUCUCAAAGCAAGCAUCAGCAGCAGCAGCGAGAAGAAGAACGGCUGCUGCAGCUCGAGGGAGCGAGGCUGCGAGGGGCGACGGCCGUUUCUCCAGAGAGGAAGAGCUCGAGCUCGAGCUCGACCUCCUGUCCCUUCCGGCAGUAGGGGGAAAGCAGAAAAUGGACGCGGCAGGUACCUCCAAGAGAGGUCGUCGUCCUCCUACCAAGCCACAGAAGCUCAAGUUCAAGCCGAAAGUGCCGUCGCGCAAGCCAAAGAAACCACCUGCACAAAAGCCACAACUGGAAGAGACAAAACCAAUUGAUGAAGAGUUAAUGAAGACACUGAGGACGGGACGAGGAGAUGCAAAAACUUUGCGAGUUAUAAAAGAUGAGCAAUCGGCACAGAAUUCCGACUCGAAGACGCUUUCUUCUGCAGCUGGAGUUAGCUUCCAAGCGGCGCAGUCAGGAAAGCACAAGCAACCAAAAAAUUCUCAGAAGGCACUUCAAAUCCCUAGGGCCUUCCCUGCCAAUCCAGAAAGGUUCUACGGUGAUGAAGAUGACGAGGACGAAGAUGAUGAUAAUGUUGUUCGAGAAGAUGACAAUGAUGUUGAGUUACCGGAGUCUCUCCCAAGCUCAACCGAAUGUGAAUCUUCCAUCCAUCCAGCGAAAGAGCUCAAUCUGCUCGAACACGAAGACAAGACAAGGAUGUUCUUGUUCCAGUUGCCGAAAUCUCUUCCUCUGCUCAGAACACCAUCCACUGUAGUUCAUAGGAAUGGAAGGGCCAUUGUCAAGGAGGUGAAAGAAGGGUACAACCUGAAUGAUCUGCCAGGGGGGUACAUGGGCAAGAUGCUGGUGUACAAGAGCGGCAAGGUCAAGAUGAAGCUGGGAGAUGCCGUGUUCGAUGUGAGCCCAGGCACGGAAUGCGGGAUGCAGCAGCACGCAGUAGCGGUGAACACUAGAAGGAAACAUUGCUGCCAGCUUGGGGAGAUCGAGAGGCAGCAUGUCGUGGUGACCCCGGAUGUCAACUCCCUGCUGAAUGACAAUAGGGACUAG
rnacentral:rRNA from 1 species